rnacentral:rRNA from 1 species
GAUAAACGCUGGCGGCGUGCCUUAUGCAUGCAAGUCGAACGUGAAGCCGACUUCGGUUGGUGGAAAGUGGCGAACGGGUGAGUAACACGUAGGAACCUGCCCGGAAGUGGGGGAUAACUCCGCGAAAGCGGGGCUAAUACCGCAUGUGGUCGAAAGAUUAAAGCUUCGGCGCUUCCGGAGGGGCCUGCGGCGGAUUAGCUAGUUGGUGGGGUAACGGCCUACCAAGGCGACGAUCCGUAGCUGGUCNGAGAGGAUGGUCAGCCACACUGGAACUGAGACACGGUCCAGACUCCUACGGGAGGCAGCAGCAAGGAAUUUUGCGCAAUGGGCGAAAGCCUGACGCAGCAACGCCGCGUGGGGGAAGAAGGCCUUCGGUUG